rnacentral:rRNA from 1 species
GAUGAACGCUGGCGGCAUGCUUAACACAUGCCAGUCGAACGGGAAGUGGUGUUUCCAUUUGCGAACGGUUGAGUAACGCUUAAGAACCUGCCCUUGGGUGGGGAACAACAACUGGAAACGGUUGCUAAUACCCCGUAGGCUGAGGAGCAAAAGGAGAAAUCCGGCCAAGGAGUGUCUCGCGUCUGAUUAGCUAGUUGGUGAGGUAAUAGCUUACCUAGGCGAUGAUCAGUAGCUGGUCCGAGAGGAUGAUCAGCCACACUGGGACUGAGACACGGCCCAGAAACCUACGGGAGGCAGAAGUGGGGAGAUUACCGCAAUAGGCGAAAGACUGACGGAGCAAUGCGGCGUGGAGGUGGAAAGCCUACGGGUCGCCAAAUUCUUUGCUCGAAGAAGAAACAAUGACGGUAUCUGAGGAAUAAGCAUCGGCUAACUCUGUG